UUGAACGCUGGCGGCAUGCCUUACACAUGCAAGUCGAACGGCAGCACGGGUGCUUGCACCUGGUGGCGAGUGGCGAACGGGGGAGUAAUACAUCGGAACAUGUCCUGUAGUGGGGGAUAGCCCGGCGAAAGCCGGAUUAAUACCGCAUACGAUCUACGGAUGAAAGCGGGGGACCUUCGGGCCUCGCGCUAUAGGGUUGGCCGAUGGCUGAUUAGCUAGUUGGUGGGGUAAAGGCCUACCAAGGCGACGAUCAGUAGCUGGUCUGAGAGGACGGUCAGCCACACUGGGACUGAGACACGGCCCAGACUCCUACGGGAGGCAGCAGUGGGGAAUUUUGGACAAUGGGCGAAAGCCUGAUCCAGCAAUGCCGCGUGUGUGAAGAAGGCCUUCGGGUUGUAAAGCACUUUUGUCCGGAAAGAAAUCCUUGGCCCUAAUACGGUCGGGGGAUGACGGUACCGGAAGAAUAAGCACCGGCUAACUACGUG
rnacentral:rRNA from 1 species